CGUUCUUUUAUAUUACUUUGGCUUCCUUUUUUUAAGGUUUGCACGAUGGAAUGCCUUUCUCUUUGUGUAAAAGCUAUGAAUGGAGGAAUGCUACUGGACAUGAGAAAGCCUAUGUUUCCACUGUAGAUUCCUAGAUUUCCUGCGCCUCUCAUUUUUGCUUCCUUUCUAGCUAAGUUUCGUCAUUUCUCUCUCUAUAUGUAGCUUUGUUUGAUGGGUUGAAGGGCUUAAGGACUUAGUUGACUUGCUUGACUUGCUAGACUUGGUUCAAAAAUAGAGAAAGAUGGAGAGGAAGAACAGAGCAAUUCCCAAAGACUCUGGGUUGACUCAGCGGCUGUUUUCUUGGUCCCUUGAAGACAUUUACAAUGAAGAUCUUUACAAGACCCAGUUGGUGCUUUGCUUGAUUAUGGUUCUUCAGCUAUCCCCACUUUGCCUGAGCUUGGGUCUUUCAUAUACAGGGCCAAGCCAGUUCAUUUGUUCCUCGGUUGAGGCUUUUCUUAGAUUCUGUAGUAUAUGCAUGGUUCAGUCAUCUCUGUUUAGCUUUACUUGUUGAAAAUGGUGUUGGAUUGUGUAAACGAAUUUUGAUCGCAUAAGAAGAUUUUUUUUUUUUUAAUUUUA